rnacentral:lncRNA from 1 species
AAAAGCCCAUUUAAAAAGUUACAAACGCGUAUCAGGAAAACACGUCAUUGCGACCGCGUUAGUAUUCAUCGUGAUCUCGAUGUCAGUAUCACGAUCGCGUGAAAAACAGAGGUGAAUUUUUCUUCUUUUUCUUCCUUUUUCUUUUUCUUUUUUCGAAGUCCCAACUUUUUUCACCUUUGGUCAUUUUACUCACUUCAUCAUUUUUGGCAUGACUUUUGCUCAUAAUUCC